rnacentral:misc_RNA from 1 species
ACCUUUAGCUUCCAAACAUACGGACUGGAGUAAAUCCAGUUCCAAUUCCGAAUACCCUAGGCUGCUCCUGCGAGCAACUAUGGAGGACAAGCGCUGCAAGUUCUGGCUCCCCAGAAAGAACCGAUUCUGUGCCAAUGCUCCCCUCAACGAUUCCCCCUUCUGUGGAAACCACAAGCCGAGGUCCGAUGGCCAGUGGAUCCCUUGCCCAAUCGACCCUUCGCACUCUGUUCUUCAAGAAAAUAUCGAUGGACAUGUUAGGAGAUGCCCUUUAUUGAAACAAGCCCAAUCCUUGUCCCUUCAGCCAUAUUACCAGAGGGGCAUUAAUGCUGGCAAAGAAGAAGACGAUGACAUUACAUCGGAAAUGAAGAGGAGUGCCGUUUAUAGCAUGACUGUGUCUGAAUUUUAUAAGUUAAUAAAGAAGAUUGAGUCAAUUCAUGCUUCGAUAUGUGAUAAUAUUUUGGAAUCGUAUAAGAUCCCCGAAGCUUGUAACAUGUGGAUUAAGAGAGAAGUAGACAGGAAAUUACCAUUUCAAGAGAAACAUGUCAAGCAACAAGCUUCAAUUAUUGGAAACUUGGAGGAUUUUGGGGUGAUCAAGAGUUCUCUUAUAAAAGAACAAUGUGAUGAUGACGGUCUAUGUGUUGACAAAAUUGAUUCUCGCCCUGCAGUGGUUGAAUUUGGAGCAGGGAGAGGAUACUUGACGCAGAUGCUAGCAGAUUGUUACGGGAUUGAAAGGGUCUUUUUGGUUGAACGAAAAUCAUACAAACUCAAGGUUAGUUGGGCUUAUUCCAUGUUGCAUUGUUUAUGUAAAGGUUAUGUUGCUUCUUGCUUAUAGUUCCAUUGAAUCAAAAUUGGGGAUUUUAGUUUGUUGGACGUUGAUGGAUGUGCAAUUUGUACAUUGUGUAUUUGAUGCAAUUGUUACUCCUAGGCAGAUAGAUCGUUGCGACAGAAAGAGAGUUUGAUAUUAGAGCGAUUGAGAAUUGAUAGUAAGGUUUCUCAUCUUCCUGUUAGUUGAAAUGAUCUUUGCAAUUAUUUUAUCUUUAGUUCUUUCUUUUUUCCCCAGUUCUUCUCUAUAUUUUAACUUUAACUUUAGAUCAAGAACUCAAGAAGGAUUAUUUAUGCUCUUUUUUUUUUUUCUCUGGAGCAUUCAAUUUAGGUGUUAUAUUGUAAAAAAGAGCAUUGGGAAAACCUUUUUUUUUUCCCUCCGCUACCUUGUUAGUUACAAGAUUUUGCUUUUUUAUUUGCAGUAGAGGAUUUAAACUUAAAAGCUGUCGACUCCCUGCAGGGAGUCCCUUAUCUGGCUAUUGGCAAACAUCUCUGUGGGCCGGCAACUGGUGAGCAAUAUGCUUGUGAAAUAACUUUCCCCUAAUCUUGAGAGGGAUUCAAAUAACUUUGCAAUUUAUUUAAUCAUUUAUCUCUUGUGUGACAGAUCAUACACUGAAUAAUUUUCCUUUUCUUUUAUUCGCCCUUUUGAAAUACAUUUAUGUAGAUUUGACGCUAAGAUGUUGCCUGUCUGAACAAGACAGUGAACAUAAUAUGGAACAGUGCCUUGGCAAUUAUUCCCUUAAGGGCCUUGCUAUAGCGACUUGCUGCCAUCAUCUUUGCCAGUGGAAGCAUUAUGCAAGUAAUCACUAUAUUGUACAAGCGAAUGCUUGUGUAUUUUAUACAUUUGUUUUUGAGCUGGCCAUGUAACUUUUAGCUUCUUGCAGAUAAAAAAUUCAUAGUCGAUUUAGGGAUCACAAAGGAAGAAUUCCAUGCAAUAACGUGGUUUACUAGCUGGGCAGUAGAUGCUGACCAUGGAUCAGAUCUCUCUGUUGACGGCAGAUUACAUCUUCAAUCUAUGUAAUGUUGCUGAAAUUUUUAUAUUGAAAUCUAUGCACAAUUAUGUUUCUAAAGACCCAUUAUUAUAAUUAAUAUUAUACUUUUCAUUCUGCAUAUUCACAUUUCAUGUAAUGACAGGGAACAGGAACAGUAUGUAGGGGAUGCAAAUGGGAUUGAAGACGCUGUGAGAAACAUGAAAGCUGUUGACAGGGCUGUGUUGGGUUUUAUGUGUAAGCAGAUCAUUGAUUUGGGAAGGAUGAUGUGGGCAAGGGAACGGGGACUAGACACACAGCUUGUUAAGUAUGUCCCAUCAAGCAUCUCUCCUGAAAACCAUUUAUUGAUUGCUAAGCAUGCCAAGUGCUCAUGAAAGCACUGGAUUUGACAUUAACAUUUUGCUAAACCUUGUUCCUCUACUAAGUAACCAGACAAUAGGUUAACACUGAGUAUCAUCUAGUCUCUCCUUCGAAGAUAGCAAGCAUGUUCCAAGCCUAUCACCCAUCAUGGUUGUCCCCCUCGCCUCACUGGUUGAUUUGCAAAUGAGUAUUGACACAGUUUAGCUGCGGGAACAAGAAUUUGAUCAGUUUGUAUGAGGGCUGCAUUUCCCCUUGUUAUCUUCAUGUGGAAUGCAAAUAUAUUGAGUAGUAGACAAAUGUUCUUUGCUUAUUUUGUGGAUCAAUUGCCUUUAUUGUCUCAAUAUUAUUGUCUGAAAAGUACCUGACUAAUUUACUAUGCCUGAGAAUUUGUUUAAUGACAUUGCUUUGCUUUUAGAAGUUGUGAUGUAGAGGAUCGAUAAUGUGAUAUUAUUUCCUAGUUGAAGUAUGACAAUUGGUGGUACUUGGGAACCAGGUUGUUUAGAAAAAAAAAAUAUAUUUUUUUAUUCUGUCAAUGUUGACUGUGAGAUUAAUUUGAUACUUGGGAACCAAGUUGUUUGUAAAACUUAUUUGUUGAUUGUAAGAAUGCUGACUUUGAAUUUAAUUUAAAAA